AAGGCUGGACUUCUCAGUAUACUACUGACAACAAACCAGAGUGUUUAAUGAUCAGGAUGGAGCUGAAAUUCCUAGCCGUUUUUGUWGUAUUUUUGUUGUAUUUUACGCUUCUUGUUCAACAAACGGAAUGCACCAACUAUGAACUCACACGUGACAACGAAAAURCGUUUCGACGCUCGUACCUCGAGAGACCUCCAACCAAGCCUGAUCCUUUUAGAAUUGGUCGCAAGAGGGCGUUUCAAGACAUAGAGAAUGUAUGUGAAAAAGCAAGAGCCAUUGGAUGUCAGUUGUAAUCCGGACAAUCCCAACUCCAGCGGUUCCAAAGAAGAAGCUAAGAGGCUUAUUUUCACAUCAAAAUUCUCUUAGGAAUUCAAAUCUCUUAAAUAAUAUUGUAGUAUUUUAUUAGAUUUGGAAUAAUAAAUGAAUGAUAAAUGAAUAUA